rnacentral:sRNA from 1 species
CCCUGCCUCCCAGACCACCCUGCGGGGCGCACCAGCGAUCUGGAGUGCGGGGCUCGGCCUCCCUGCGCUCCUGGCUGACGGUGUGACCUUGGGACCGAGACGUGCAGCUGUCCAAGGCUCUGUCCUAUGCCCUGCGCCAUGGGGCCUUGAAGCUGGGGCUUCCCAUGGGAGCUGGUAAGUGGGGGCCUUGGAGGCUGGGGCUUGAGCCCAGAGAGAAACGUGAGCCUGUCUGCGACUCCGCCCCCACGGCUGCCUCCACUGCUCCCUGAGGAAGGCACAGAGGGCACUUCCUCCCCAUGCACAGAGGAGAGCAAGGCCUAGAGCCCCUGUCAUGUCCACAGCAGACUGAGGAGAGUUCUUGUCUGGGCCAGGCCUGGUGACCGCCCCCUCCAGCCAAGCAGCCAGGUCAGCACUUACCCCGAGGGCGUGCCCUGGAGGGUAUGGCGCAGCUGGUGUUGUGAGUGUGCACUCCGGGCCAGCGCUAUGCUGAGCACUCACCUCCCUGCCCCUCCGUGAGGCAGAUCCUCUUUUUAUGUAAGUUGAAAAAACUGGGGCCCAGAAAGGGGAGACUUUCUAAAGGUCCCACAGAGGAUGCCCGAGCGAUCUCCAAGCCCAGACUUUGUUUCGGUUGCCUAUGGCUCCCUGUUAACCCUGGCCCAGUCCAGAGCAAGGUUGGCUCCUGAGCACCCUGCCUGCCCACAGACGGCUUCGUGCCCCUGGGCGCCCUCCUGCAGUUGCCCCAGUUCCGCGGCUUCUCUGCUGAAGAUGUGCAGCGCGUGGUGGACACCAAUAGGAAGCAGCGGUUCGCCCUGCAGCCCGGGGAUCCCAGCACUGGCCUUCUCAUCCGGGCCAACCAGGGCCAUUCCCUGCAGGUUGGGGUGAGGGGACAAGCGCGAGAGCCAGAUGGGAGGGACC